UACGAAGGGGGCUAGCGUUGCUCGGAAUCACUGGGCGUAAAGGGUGCGUAGGCGGGUCUUUAAGUCAGUGGUGAAAUCCUGGAGCUCAACUCCAGAACUGCCUUUGAUACUGAAGAUCUUGAGUUCGGGAGAGGUGAGUGGAACUGCGAGUGUAGAGGUGAAAUUCGUAGAUAUUCGCAAGAACACCAGUGGCGAAGGCGGCUCACUGGCCCGAUACUGACGCUGAUGCACGAAAGCGUGGGGAGCAAACAGG
rnacentral:rRNA from 1 species